AAUAUGAGAAAUUAUUUUCAGUGUCACAAUACAAAACUUAGUGGUCCAAAUAGAUUCAAAAUAUAAUUGAUUAUUUUAAUCUCUUGUUUUUGGGGUGAAAUUUGACUUGAGAAUUUUGGUGUAUUUUACUAUUUUUUUUUUUUUUUUGAUAUUCAGCCAUAUGAAUUCUAAUCACUAUAUUAGAUUCAGUUUGCCAAUCAUGUCUUGCAAAAGCAUUUUUGAUGACCCUAUUUGACAGUAUCAGGCCAAGCGUUCCUCUCAUCAGUGUACACAACGUGCAGUAUGAAUUAGAAAUAAUCAUAUUUCUGUGUGUAUGUGUAUGAUAGAGUGAUAGCAGAGUUUCCUGGUUUAUUCUCAAAGCAAUGCAUCAGACAUGUUUGCCGUUGCCAAUCACCUCUCACCUUUAACCCUUCGAGUGACCGUUCAAAGUGUGGCCGUGGUCAAUGCAAACACACACAGUAUAGCCUCCUGAUGCCUACUAAUCGUCUUAAUAGUCGACGUCAGACCUCUCUCAAGCUGGCAUCCCUUACAGUUACCAAGACAAACUAAAAACUGGAAUUGACAAGGCAAAUCAUGUUGGAAAUGCUCUGUUUUGUGUUUGUAUGUAACGUUAAUUGAAUCAAUUUGGAUCAAAAGUCCACUAACCUGUGAUGGAUGAUGUCAUACCCAGCUUUGCAUGUGAUUGGCUAGAGGUUUCCAAAGGAACUUGAAAAAGCCUCUGUGUCUGAACAGCACCAUUAGUAAUGAGGGCCACGCGUUCUUCUCGCUCAAACGAUGCCAUUGGUCGGGAAGGGAGUCGGUCACUGCGCUCGCUGACCGAAGCACUUCCUCCUAACGUUCCCGGGCCUCUUCCUCUCCCUGUGAUCAUUUUUAUACUGCAGAUAUUUAUUUGGUCACCAUUUAAACUUUGUUGUAUAGUUAAAUGUAAGUAGGAAUCUAUGGGACUAUAACUUAUUGUUUUGUACACAGAUCUGUAAAGAGAGAGUGUAGAUGUAAACACUUUGGAAAGGGGAGUUCAGAACUUUGUGUUGUCAUGGAUGUAUCUUCACAUUUGUUUAAAAAUGAUAAAAAAGGAAAUAAAAGGCAAAGUAUUUUCCUGCA